AGUAUACACGAAUGGAAAGAACGUAUGGUCUGUUUUUACAUUAGCAGACAUCUGUUUGAUGGUUAUUGUUGUUUUUAUUGUGCUUGAUCAUCUGAGAAUGAGCAAGGGAGAAUGUGUGAGAGAGAGAGAGAGUAAGCCAAACCGGGAUUUGUGUGUUUUCAUUCUCUGUUUUCGUUUAGUAUGCCUUUACUUUGUGUUGUUGUUGUUGUUGCUGUCUUCAGUAGCGAUUCGGUUGUUUGAGAGUAUGUGAGCGAAACCAAAGCUGGUCAAAUUAUCUGUCUGCCAGUCAUUCGCAGUUUUUAAAUAAGAAAAGUUCGAAAACUGAAAACCCGUGCGUGAAUCCAAUUUAUUUGUAAAUUUUUUUAAUGGUGAAUUCAUAUUUUUUCAUAAAACAAGUGUUGUUUAAGUGUACGAAAACCUUUAGAAGGCAUUUGCUUAGAUUUUUGUGAUAACAUUACCUACAGGCGGUUAAUUUUCUUAUUAGUCAUAAAGUGUUAAAGUGCAAAUGGUGUGAAAAAGAGAUAAAGGUGAAAGAAAAGAAAAAUGGUUUUCCAAUAGGAAAAAAGAUUCCAAAUAUCCCUGCUUUAGUGCUCUUACGAUUGCUAUCUGUCUCUAACAGAAGAAAGGAAAUCUUGCGAACAACAAGUGAACAAGCCACCGGUAAUUAUUUGUCGCCAAAAGUCCGUCUGUUCGUCCGCUCUUUCUUCCGUUGGCCGGUCGCCACACCGGUGGUCACACUCGACUAAUUUGCUGCUCAUUAAAUCUCAACGUCGCGUUUCUGACAAACAGUGAAAUAAACAAAACUCGGUUUUUGCCAAUUAUUUGCAGCGUUAAUUUUUUGUUCGCUUUCGUUCGGUCGUUCCCUUCUUUAUACACUUGGUUGGUUUUUGUGAAGCGUUCACUCGGUUGCUGGUGUCACUGCCACUGCCCUAUUUUGCAGUCGCUUCGUUGACAACUUUCUAAUGUCUAUGAACUCCAGACAAAGUCGUCGCCGACUCCUCUACUUGAUAUUGGUUUUUGUGCAAAAUUUUUGACACUAACAAACAAAAAUACCAAAACCAACAACAAAAGUGAUUCAAAGUAUCUGAGAGCAAAGAGUUUAAAGAAGACUACAACUUUGGCAUCAUUACACACAAGAACUUCAUUUAAUUGAAAUUACAGUGGCUUUAAUUUCAACAUCAUCCAACGACGAAGCGAACUAAAUAAAAAUCUAACAUUUGGCCGCUAAAACUUCCACAAGCUAUAAAAAAAGG
rnacentral:sRNA from 1 species